AUGCUGUACAACAUUUGUAAUAUACAGGAGAUCACGGUGGAACAGUUUAGAAAUGGUGUAGGGGAAAACUUCUUCCGGAGACAGCUGCAUGCAACAUUGUUAGAUCAGUGGAAUGAACUCAAUAACACUAUUAACUCCUGGGAGUUAUCGGAUGAAACUGAUCAAGUGGCUUGGACCCUAGGCAAGAAGAAUAAAUUUACAACCAGAUCGGUAUAUGACUACCUGGAGAGAAACAUCGCAGGUUGUAACUACAGAUGGAUCUGGCAGGCAAAGAUCCCUUUGAAAAUUCAAAUUUUCGUGUGGCAAACCUUCCAGGAUGCUAUUUUGACUAGAGAUGUCAUGAGUAGAAGACGAUGGGCUGGCAACCCCAAAUGUUCUUUCUGUUGGAACAGAGAGACUUCAAAUCACCUGUUCUUCACAUGUCAUGUGGCCAGGGUGGUCUGGAGGACGGUGGGGUGUGUUCUGGGUACAGACACAUGUCCGAACAAUAUUUGGUAA
rnacentral:rRNA from 1 species